GUCCCGUUAGCUCAGUCGGUAGAGCACUUGACUUUUAAUCAAGGGGUCAGAAGUUCGAGCCUUCUACGGGACACCA
rnacentral:tRNA from 4 species